UACGGGGGGGGCAAGCGUUGUUCGGAAUUACUGGGCGUAAAGGGCGCGUAGGCGGCCAUUCAAGUCGGGGGUGAAAGCCUGUGGCUCAACCACAGAAUUGCCUUCGAUACUGUUUGGCUUGAGACCGGAAGAGGUUAGUGGAACUGCGAGUGUAGAGGUGAAAUUCGUAGAUAUUCGCAAGAACACCAGUGGCGAAGGCGGCUAACUGGUCCGGUUCUGACGCUGAGGCGCGAAAGCGUGGGGAGCAAACAGG
rnacentral:rRNA from 1 species